AAUCCAGGUAGAGGCGCACUGUCUAUCAGUAGGUUUGGCGAGGUUGACCACCGAUGACCCAAAUUGAAAGGAGCCCGUGCCGAAGUCUAUAAAGCGUCAUCUUUGUAGGCUGGGGUCGUUUUUAAUAGGAACGACACUGCCAUAGUCAACAUUCACUAUGGAGCGCUACUGUUGGG
rnacentral:ncRNA from 1 species